rnacentral:rRNA from 1 species
CAGUAGCCGCGGGAAUACAAAGGGGGCUAGCGUUGCUCGGAAUCACUGGGCGUAAAGCGCACGUAGGCAGAUCGUUAGGUCAGGGGUGAAAGCCUGGAGCUCAACUCCAGAACUGCCUUUGAUACUGGCGAUCUCGAGUCCGGAAGAGGUGAGUGGAACUGCGAGUGUAGAGGUGAAAUUCGUAGAUAUUCGCAAGAACACCAGUGGCGAAGGCGGCUCACUGGUCCGGUACUGACGCUGAGGUGCGAAAGCGUGGGGAGCAAACAGGAUUAGAGACCCCUGUAGUCCCUGUCUCUUAUAC